rnacentral:tRNA from 1 species
GGGGCUGUAGCUCAGUGGCAGAGUGCUUGUCUAGCCUGUAUGAGACACUGAGUUCGAUCCUUAGCACCACA